UCAUCUAUGUAUUUGAAUUUGGUUUUAUCUUUUAUCCAUAUCGCUACCCCACGUGAAUUGCUUGUCCCGUCGCUUCUAAAAAGAUUUUUACACAAAUUCUUUUUUCAAUGUGAACUUCAUUUUAUUUGUAAAAUGGGUUUCCUAAUGAAUAGAAUAUCAUUUUUUUGUUGAUUUGACCAGCUUACAAUUUUACUUAUUUUUUCAGGUUGUUGCAGGCCAUUGGCAUUGACCGUGCUUAUAUGUAGAUUAUUCUUCAUUUUGGAUUAAAAAAAAAAAUUUGAUUGAGCAUUUUAUCUGGUAAGUACCAUUUUCUAAUCAUAGUUUUACAAAUAUU
rnacentral:lncRNA from 1 species